UGAUUUUUCUCACUCAGUGCCUCUGUGU
rnacentral:piRNA from 1 species